GACGAACCGUGCGAACGUUAUUCGGAAUCAUUGGGCUUAAAGGGCGCGUAGGCGGCGGCGUAAGUUGGAAGUGAAAUCCCAUCGGCUCAACCGUGGAAUUGCUCCCAGUACUGCGUCGCUCGAGGGGGAUAGGGGUCUGCGGAACUACCAGUGGAGCGGUGAAAUGUGUUGAUAUCGGUGGGAACGCCAGUGGCGAAAGCGGCAGACUGGACCCUUCCUGACGCUGAUGCGCGAAAGCUAGGGGAGCAAACGGG
rnacentral:rRNA from 1 species